rnacentral:rRNA from 1 species
AUUGAACGCUGGCGGCAGGCUUAACACAUGCAAGUCGAGCGGGGUGAUGGUGCUUGCACUAUCACUUAGCGGCGGACGGGUGAGUAAUGCUUAGGAAUCUGCCUAUUAGUGGGGGACAACAUCUCGAAAGGGAUGCUAAUACCGCAUACGUCCUACGGGAGAAAGCAGGGGAUCACUUGUGACCUUGCGCUAAUAGAUGAGCCUAAGUCGGAUUAGCUAGUUGGUGGGGUAAAGGCCUACCAAGGCGACGAUCUGUAGCGGGUCUGAGAGGAUGAUCCGCCACGCUGGGACUGAGACACGGCACAGACUCCUACGGGAGGCAGCAGUGGGGAAUAUUGGACAAUGGGGGGAACCCUGAUCCAGCCAUGCCGCGUGUGUGAAGAAGGCCUUAUGGUUGUAAAGCACUUUAAGCGAGGAGGAGGCUCUUUUGGUUAAUACCCAAGAUGAGUGGACGUUACUCGCAGAAUAAGCACCGGCUAACUCUGUGCCAGCCGCCGCAGUAAAAC